UACGUAGGCAGCGAGCGUUGUUCGGAAUUACUGGGCGUAAAGAGUGUGUAGGCGGUGCUCUAAGUCUGUUGUGAAAUCUCCCGGCUCAACUGGGAGGGUGCGGCGGAAACUGGAGUGCUCGAGUGUGGGAGAGGUAAGCGGAAUUCCUGGUGUAGCGGUGAAAUUCGUAGAUAUUCGGCGGAACACCAGUGGCGAAGGCGACUCACUGGCCCGAUACUGACGCUGAGGCGCGAAAGCGUGGGGAGCAAACAGG
rnacentral:rRNA from 1 species